GCACGCCUCCUCCUUACAACCAAAAAAAAAACGAGUAAUGAACAUUGACGAUCCACCAACGUGCAAAAUAUCAUCACCCUUAUCUCUCUAUAAAUUGACAUCCACUUGCCAUAAACACUCAUAUCAAAAUCAAACUAACACAAGAAAAAAAAUAAAAAUCAUGAACACUCUCUUGUUACUAUUUUCACUUUCACUUUCAAUUAUUCCAUUUACCUUAUGUGUACCCAAUCCCUCAAGAAUACUCUCAUCAUCAUCUCCAGUUCUCGAUAUCAAUGGCGAUAAAGUUCAAGCAGGUCCCAAUUACUUCAUCUUACCCGUCAUUCGAGGAAAAGGCGGCGGACUUUACCCAUCCAACGUUAAACAACACAAUAGUACAUGUCCUAGAGACAUUGUUCAAGAGACCGACGAGGUACAACAAGGAUUGCCAGUAGUGUUUACACGUCUCGACGCGAAAAAAGGCGUCGUUCGUGUAUCUACUGAUGUUAAUGUUAGGUUUUAUACUCCGACGAUUUGUGCUAGAGAAACUAUUUGGAAACUUGGAGCGUAUGAUGACAAGUUGAAACAGUAUUUUGUUGUGACGGGUGGAGUUGAAGGUAACCCGGGUCCGCAAACGGUGGGUAAUUGGUUUAAGAUUGAGAAAUUCGGGUCGGAUUAUAAGUUUGUGUUUUGUCCAAGUGUGUGUGAGUUUUAUAAAGUUAUUUGUAAAGAUGUUGGGGUUUUUAUGAAGGAUGGAGUUAGGUUUUUGGCUCUUAGUGACACUCCAUUUAAAGUUAUGUUUAAGAAGACUUUUUGAUUGUGUAUUUUUUUUUUUUAAUUUGUCAAUUUUUAUGGUUAAUUGAAAGGUUUGGUUUAUAAUAAUAUUGUGUUUUUUAUGUAAUCUUGCUUAUGUUCGUUAAUUAACUUCGUCUUGGAUAUGAAAUGCGACUCUUUUAUCUUUUCAUUGUUGUUCAUCCUCCUGGCCAAAUAGAAAGUUGAAUUAUCAAAAAAAAAAACUCAUUAAAAAAUAAACGAUUGAUUUUUCUUAAAAAACUCAUCAAAAAUUUUACUUUUCAAUAUAUCGAUGUUUGAUUGAAUAUAAAAUUAAAGAAAUAUUUUUUUCGAAACUUUUGAUCUAAGAUGAAACUGAGAAAUAUUUAUGACUAAUUAUAACUCGAAUAUUUAGCAUAGAACUUGGGCAAAUUUAUCUCUUCAUUCACCUACAACAAUAUAUUUUCUUAGAAUAUAUGAAACAAGUGAAGUAUUGAUUAGCAAAUUAAGCCUAGUUUUAAUAGUAUUUGAAAAUGCUUUUAUAAUUAAUCCUUCAUUCUCUAUUUUACCACAAAUAAAAUUAUAGUAUGUUAUUAAGCAUUAUAUAUAUACACACGUGUGAUUAUAAAUUUUGUACCGAACUAUGAGUGAAAUUCAAUUCACUAUAAACAAUGAGUUUAUUUAUAAAAUAUAAAAAUUAUGGUAAUUUUAAUUUUUUUUAAAAUUUCUCAAAUAAUAGAAUUUAAUCAAAAUACUAGAUUUUUUCUUAUAUUUAGUAACUUUAAUUGUUUAUCAAAUAUGCCAAGUUAUUUGACACAAACAAUAUUUGCCAAGUUCUUCCUAUAUUUUUUGGAAUAUUUAUGUCCAAACACGUCACUGCGAACAUAAUUUCGAAAUUUCGAUCUGUUAAUUAAGUGUCAUGGAUUUUUAGAUGCAUUAAAGUCAACUUCUGGAAGACUUCUCCAGUCCAAUUAAGAUGUGCGUUCAUUAUUGACCAACUUAUGUCAAGAUCCAUUUCAGUUAUCAACAUCAUGCUUCGUCCGUUUCAAUUUUUAUGACACAUUUUGAUUUUGAGUUUUUACAUAUUUUAAAUUGUUAAUUAUUGUAAUUUAUAAUAUUUUUACGUAGUUUACAAAUAUAUAAAUUUUAUUUUAAAAAAAUUAACAAUUUCAUGCUCAAAUUUUGAGUUAAACUUAAACUGUUUGACUCUUAAAAAAUAAAAUGUGUCACAUAAAUAAAUUAGGAUAGAGAAAGUAUUAUUUUUGAAGUCAAAUAUUAUUACUCCUUUACUUAGCUUGAUCUUUAUAUCAAAUAAGUAUUUUAUUUUAUUUGUUUAUAUCUCUAACUAAUUUUUUUUAGGAAAUGUUUUAGAUUAACAAACGCCAAGUAGUAAUAUAAAACUAAGAGAUUAUUUAUUCAUAUAAAUAUUUUAAUUGAGUAUCCCAUUUUAAAAUUCAUUGAGCACGUUUGAUUUAAAAUUUCAGGGACCGCCACUAUUUAUUUUUUCUUUCACUACCAACAGAAAUUAAAGUAGCUUAUCCCUGGGCUAUAAAUUGACAUCCACUUCUGAUCAUUCAACACACCAAAGGACUCAUAUCACAAAAAAAUUGAAGAUUUCAUACUCAAAUUUCAUGCUCAAAUUUCGAGUUAAACUUAAACUAUUUGACUCUCGAAAAAUGAAACGUGUCACAUAAAUUAGCAUAGAGAUAAUAUUAUUUUUAAGUCAAAUAUUAUUACUCCUUUACUUAGCUUGAUAUAUCUUUAUAUCAAAUAAGUAUUUUAUUUUAUUUGUUUAUAUCUCUAACUAAUUUUUUUUUAGGAAAUGUUUGGGGUUUAUUAAAAAUCAAGUAAUAUAAUUCGAAGAGAUUAUUUAUUCAUAUAAUUUUUUUUUGACUGAGUAUCCCAUUUUAAAAAUCAUUGAACACGUUUGAUUUAAAAUUUCAGGGACCGCCACUAUUUUUUUUUUCUUUCACUACCAACAAAAAUUAAAGUAGCUUAUCCCUUAGCUAUAAAUUGACAUCCAAUUCUGAUCAUUCAACGCACCAAAAAAAAAUGAACAUUCUUUUGCUACUUUCAAUAAUUCCAUUUACCUUAGCAUCAUCGUCAUCGUC
rnacentral:lncRNA from 1 species